rnacentral:rRNA from 1 species
UUACUCAGUUCAGAUUGCAGGCUGCAACCCGCCUGCAUGAAGUCGGAAUUGCUAGUAAUCGCGGAUCAGCAUGCCGCGGUGAAUACGUUCCCGGGCCUUGUACACACCGCCCGUCACACCAUGGGAGCCGGUAAUACCCGAAGUCAGUGGUCCAACCUCGUGAGGACGCUGCCGAAGGUAGGAUUGGCGACUGGGGUGAAGUCGUAACAAGGUAGC